AGUGAACGCUGGCGGUAGGCCUAACACAUGCAAGUCGAACGGCAGCACAGGAGAGCUUGCUCUCUGGGUGGCGAGUGGCGGACGGGUGAGGAAUACAUCGGAAUCUACUCUGUCGUGAGGGAUAACGUAGGGAAACUUACGCUAAUACCGCAUACGACCUACGGGUGAAAGCAGGGGACCUUCGGGCCUUGCGCGAUUGAAUGAGCCGAUGUCGGAUUAGCUAGGUGGCGGGGUAAAGGCCCACCAAGGCGACGAUCCGUAGCUGGUCUGAGAGGAUGAUCAGCCACACUGGAACUGAGACACGGUCCAGACUCCUACGGGAGGCAGCAGUGGGGAAUAUUGGACAAUGGGCGCAAGCCUGAUCCAGCCAUACCGCGUGGGUGAAGAAGGCCUUCGGGUUGUAAAGCCCUUUUGUUGGGAAAGAAAUCCAGCUGGCUAAUACCCGGUUGGGAUGACGGUACCCAAAGAAUAAGCACCGGCUAACUUCGUGCCAGCCGCCGCAGUAA
rnacentral:rRNA from 1 species